rnacentral:rRNA from 1 species
GUCUAUGGUCAUGCUACCCUGAACAAGUUCCAUCCCGUCUGAUCUCAGAAGCUAAGCAGGAUCAGGCCUGGUUAGUACUUGGAUGAGAGACCACCUAGGAAAACCAGAUGCUGUAGGCA